GCGCAAGUGGCGGAAUCGGCAGACGCGCCAGCCUUAGGAGCUGGUGCCUUCGGGCGUGCGGGUUCAAGUCCCGCCUUGCGCA
rnacentral:tRNA from 2 species